AACCGCAACGGCUUCUUCCAUAGACACCAGGUACGUCGCGAGGUUGUCUGGAGUGCCGUCAAAAUAGGGAUGAACCGAACUGCGAAACCUGUCUUCCGUGCAGGCAUAUCGGGAAAUGGGAGAGGUACGCAGGGAACCAGAGGGGCACCACAAGCUCAGAUUUAAAUGCCUGGAGAUGCUCCCAAUGAUGGCUAUAAAAGCGACUUUGUAGCCACAGAUAUACUGGAACGAGAAUUGGGUCUGGAAUCUGAAUAUGGAAAUCGGGCUGAGGACCUGGAUUGGAUCGGG